rnacentral:rRNA from 1 species
UUAAAUUGAAGAGUUUGAUCAUGGCUCAGAUUGAACGCUGGCGGCAGGCCUAACACAUGCAAGUCGAACGGUAACAGAAAGCAGCUUGCUGCUUUGCUGACGAGUGGCGGACGGGUGAGUAAUGUCUGGGAAACUGC